GGCUGGGGCCGGGACGGCGGCAGCUUCAUCGGGGUAUCAGGCUGGGCACGUUGCAGCCCCGAAAGGCACCUGAAAGCGGGGAGCAUAUAACAAGGAACAGACUGACCCAUCCCAAUGACAGGGGCAAAAGGGUAUUAUGAUGGAUAGAGUUGUUUUGUUCGAACCAACAGGUACAAGGUAAGAGGCGGCACCUUACUACGUAGAGGGGUUGUACCUUGCUGGGUAGUGGGGUUGCACCUCAAUAUGUCAGGAGUGAUGUGUAACUUGUUUGUACCUGUGUAUAAGAAUGCAUCCCUGGGGAGGUGUCUUUGUCGGGCCUACGGGGCAGUGGAAAGUCCCACCACUGACUGAGCCGAGUCCAUUGUCAAGAGGCACUUUCUCGUAGUACCCCCGGUAGACUAAGUAAUCUACGGGGAACUGCAAUUGUGUCCAUAAGGCAAUAAACCUGGCUGAUGUGCCUUGCACCUUA